AGAUGGACGUAGCACCCGUGACGUCCCCGUUAAUUUCGGCACUGAAGAAAAUGAAGCCUCUUCCUUGUUGACAUCCUCGAUUUUUGGAGCCAGUGACGACAGCAAGGGCGGAGCCGGAGAGCAGUGAUUGGUCAGACUGGCUGACAGCUGAGGACUUCCUGUCCCGCCCUCAUUUACGGACUUCUGCUGUUUAUCGAUGCUGCUGCUAACAACGUUAGCUUCCAAAAGUCGAGCUAAACUCCACAGGAUAGCCAUUUUUGUAACUAGUUGUAGUCUUCUCCACAUCUGGACAACAUCACACAUAAAGCAGUGAAGUUACUUCUUGUUCUGGAUCAUUGGGAACAUCUGGUCUGAUGGACUGAGAGCUCCAGAGAACAUGAACAUCCAGCUGUGGUUGUCUGAACAGUCUUCUCUCCUUCAUCACUGAUGUCCUCCUCAUCCUUCCAUUAAUAACAAUAAUGCUGCAGAUUCAGCUCCUCUCUUCAGAAUACAACUGGUCUUGUGACUGUUCAGUUUUUAUACAUCAAUGUCAGCAACACAUUAUUUAUUUUGUCAUGAGUCGAGGGUCUGGACCCGUGCGGAGGAACACGCUACCAGGGCGGAAUUGGGUGUAAAACAGGUUUAUUGUAAGGGGUGGAGAUGGGCCGGGAAGCAGUUGAGGUGGAUAGGGGGUUCUGGCUGCAGGGAGGGAGUUAAGCCGGGGAUUGACGGCCGUGGCGGCUCCGGUGGGGAGCAGAGUGUGGCGGCAGAUGUUUUUAAAAAAAAAUUUAAACCCUCAUGAAAAGAAUCUCAGAUUCUAAAGCUCUGAUUCAAAGAAAGACAUUUGGUCUAGUGUAUUAUGACUUCUUUGUCAGUACAGGUAGAUCCAAUUAAUUCAACACGAUGAUCCAUAGCGCUGAUGGAUGCGUGAGACAGGCUGUGGAAGUGGCGAUCUUUAGCUCAUUGGUUUUUCUGGUCUCGUUUUGUUCUGUGGUGGUGGAACCAUUGUCCGUAAGCCUCAUGGACAGAAAGGUGCAGAGCUGUUUUUGUGCUUUUCGGUGACAGCAUGUUGUAUUAGAUGCUAAAACUGCAUGGUGAGCCUGUAUCUCACAUUCGCAAAAUCUGGAGUUGCCACCUUUCAGAAAUGACAAUAAAGGACGCCCACCACGGCUCCUCGGGGCCACGACCACCCAACGAGUGGAAUAUUGUAUUUUUAAAAAAGCAUUUCAAUGCAGAAUACUGUGUAAAUAAAUUCUCUACAAACGUAUUUUUCUAAAUCUAAAUGUUAUCUUAAUGCAAUUAAUUUAUUAAGCCAUUUAUGUGUGUAUGCAUGUAUUGAUUGAUUUAUUCAGUACUGUUAACAUAAGAGAGUUCUGAGUGAGUUUUUCUUUAGAUAGGCAAAGUCUAUUUACUGAUUACAUACAGGCUAUUUAAAAAAUGUUUAUUAAAAACUUAAAGGCACUGAAAAAUAAUAAAGAACUUAGACAUUUAUUGAGUCACUAAAAUACUGUCAAGUCUACGGCCACAUCAGCAUGAUUAUAAGUUUUAGGUGUAAACCUUAUUUUUACAAAGCGUAGUGAUUCAGUUCAGUGUACCUGUUUCUUGUAAAUGGCAAUAAGCUCUAUUCUGUUCUAUUUGAUCUCCAUGUAAUAUGUAUAUAACAGCCUAUAGCUGUAGAGAGAUAGAUAGAUAAAUAUGAAUUAUUAUUUGAUUACCUUUACAAUUAAAUCUAUAUAUGUAUAAUUUUCUCCCUGUCUUUUUUGUUCAUAUAUUUUUAAGAAGUUACAAUGUAUAUAUUUAAUGGCUGAACGUAAAAGAUUUUCUGACCUCUGGACCAAA